GUAGGGAAUAUUGCGCAAUGGACGAAAGUCUGACGCAGCGACGCCGCGUGAGUGAUGAAGGCCUUAGGGUCGUAAAGCUCUGUUGAAUGGGAAGAAAAAAAUGACGGUACCAUUCGAGGAAGGACCGGCUAACUUCGUGCCAGCAGCCGCGGUAAUACGAGGGGUCCUAGCGUUGUUCGGAAUCAUUGGGCGUAAAGGGUGUGUAGGUGGCCAUGUAAGUCAGGUGUGAAAGCCCCGGGCUCAACCCGGGAAGUGCACUUGAUACUGCGUGGCUUGAGUACCGAAGAGGGUAGUGGAAUUCCAGGUGUAGUGGUGAAAUACGUAGAUAUCUGGAGGAACACCGGUGGCGAAGGCGGCUACCUGGUCGAGUACUGACACUGAGACACGAAAGCAUGGGGAUCAAACAGGAUUAGAAACCCUAGUAGUCC
rnacentral:rRNA from 1 species